CUGGAAUCCGCCAUGUCUACAUGUCUCUGACUCAAAAGGAAGCUCCUCCAGGAGCGGGUGCACAUGAUGCUGAGCUUAUAGGGCAGGGAGUACGCGGUACUAACUGACAACAAGGACGAGGAGGUGGGCGAGCGAAGGGCGCCAAGGUGGACCCGAGUUCGGUCAGCGUUUAAGGAGGCACAUACCAACCUAUCAAACACUAAUAGUCAUGUUGCACUUUAAGAGAGGAGUUCCUUCGCCCAGUGGCAAAGAGGAUGGCAGCGGCAGGAAGCCUUUGAAGCCUUUGGACUGGCGCGACAUGAAUCCUGAAGGUUUUUAGUACAGCG